GACGAACGCUGGCGGCGUGCUUAACACAUGCAAGUCGAACGGAAAGGCCCUGCUUUUGUGGGGUGCUCGAGUGGCGAACGGGUGAGUAACACGUGAGUAACCUGCCCUUGACUCUGGGAUAACGUCAGGAAACUGGGGCUAAUACCGGAUAUGAGCUCCUGCUGCAUGGUGGGGGUUGGAAAGUUUCGGCGGGUGGGGAUGGACUCGCGGCUUAUCAGCUUGCUGGUGGGGUAGUGGCUUACCAAGGCUCUGACGGGUAGCCGGCCUGAGAGGGUGGCCGGCCACAUUGGGACUGAGAUACGGCCCAGACUCCUACGGGAAGCAGCAGUGGGGAGUGUUGCACAAUGGGCGGAAGCCUGAUGCAGCAACGCCGCGUGCGGGAUGACGGCCUUCGGGUUGUAAACCGCUUUCGCCUGUGACGAAGCGUGAGUGACGGUAAUGGGUGAAGAAGCACCGGCUAACUACGUG
rnacentral:rRNA from 1 species